rnacentral:rRNA from 1 species
AUGGAGGCCGACGCCGAAGGAGGAGGAGGAGGAGGAGGAGGAGGAGGCUUCAGGCCCUUGACCACUUUUGCCGACUGGCCUGAUGACGACGCCGAGGUGGAAGCCGCCCCGCGCCACCAACCAAUGGUCGGCCAGCCGAGCGCGAGUUCCUCCACCGGCUUGGGUGGUCAAGGCGGCGCGAAGAGGCGCCGGGCCAGGCCGAGCUUGCUUGGCGGCCGGUCGAAGAAGUUCAAGGGGGCAGCCGCCACGACCAAGCGGGAGGAGGCCAUCGCGAAGGCCAACCGCUUCCGUAAGGAAGUGAAGAAGCCGCCCCUGGUCUCCGCGGCUCCUCUUACUUUUGAUAGGGUCGCCGCCGCCUUUGUCAUGGGGUCGGCAGAGACGUCCGCCACUACUCGGUGGAUUGACCCCGCCGCCGACCUCCGGGAGGCGACGGAGUGGAACGAGCGGGAGAAGCGCGACGAGGACGAAGCCGCCCGCCUAGAGAAGGCAGAGGCCGACAGGGCGGAGGCCACCGCCCAGAGGAAGCUGGAUGAGGCCGAAGCCACCGUUGCGGCAAGGCGGCGAGCUGAGGAGGCCGCGCUCCUCCAAUCGGCGUUGCUUGUUAUCCCUCCAAACUCCGCGCAGCCGCCCCUGGAGUUCACGGGGUAG